CAUGUAUUUUCAGAUUUUAUUUUAUUUAAAAACCGUACAAAGAGUAUAAAACAAUAAAAAAGGCCACUUAAAAGAGUAUAAGACAAUAGGAGUCAAUGGGAAGUCCCCACCAUGAUAGAAAAACAAACCUUUUUUGUCUGAAAACAUCUUUUGUGUAAGAGCACCAUGUGUGUCCAUGUGGGUGGGUUAGCUGUGGUAUUGUGUGUGCAAGUUUGGCCAAAGAAAAGGAAAACAAAUGGCAUAUAAUUCAUCGUGGAAGUUAUUGGCAUGGGCACAAAUGCACAAGUUAGCAAAUAAAUGAUUCAAAAAAAGGCACUUUAAUUGUUGAAAAUGACACCUCGAACUUAUGUUUUAAGGACACUGUAAAAUUAUACAAUAAAGGGAGAGCGUGAGAGAUAUCAGUACAUUCUUACCAAGAUGGAGACGCAACAUUGGUAAACAGUGCAUAGCAUCUUUUUUAAAUGGAAAACAGUCCCACAGAUCGGUGGUCAGAGAAUUUAACAAUCACAAAGAAAAAAAACAAACUCUCAGUGGAAAAGGAAAUACAAUAGUCCUUUUGUUUCAACUGAAAGUUCAUGUUGCUCACUGGAUUUCACUGUGUUCUGCCCCGCUCAAGUUUUUCACAGCAGUCACGUAAAGUCUCCGCAAAGCUCGGUGAGAUUUAAAGUAUGCAAACCAUCACGUCCAUGUUUUAGAAACCAGUCAAGCAUUUAAUUAAAAAACACACUCACUUAUAUACGCACCUAACAUACAUUUGUCUUCUGUGUUCUUUGUGGUUCAGAGGGCAAGCCCUGCUGUAAUCCGUCUAGAGCCGCUGGAAUUCAGCCAUAUUUCUCUUUCCUGGCCACCCCUCACCCCACCAAGAGCCCUAUGUUGUACAGAUAGGUUGAACCAACCAACCACACAGAUGUACAGAGGACAGAAGAGAUGGAUGUACAACUAAGAAGAGGCACUUGGAGAGUGUUUGUAUGUGUGUGCAGAAACGAAGCAUUAUAUGGCCGCGACAUUUCAACAAACCAUGUAGCGUAGUGUUUAUUUAACCUUUCAUAUGGCUGGCACCACGUGAGCUGGGAAGCACGUGUGUCUGUGUGUCCCUCCCUGACAGUACUUCCUCCUGCACCCCGGACUAGACAGCAGAGGGAGACUUGUAAAGAUGAUUUGUAUCUGAGACAAAAUGUAUAUGUGUGUUGUAUCUUAUCGCUGUGUUUUGUAAGCGUGGAAGCCAUAAAUACUCAAGAGAAUGAGUGCUCUUAAAUGCAACAAGCUGAAUUCCUCUGUGUUUAUGUGUGCAUGUGAACUCUUUUAGGUCCUUUUCUUGUCCGGGCAUGUUGCUCCGCUGGUCCGACAGGACGGGGAGAAUUCCACAGUCUUGCAAACUGCCAGGAUGCUUCUUUGAGGCUGGUAGAGCUGCAUACUUCUCAUCUUUCUUUCCUCUACAUUGCCGCUGUCAUCAUUCUCUUCUCAUAUCUCUGUUUUUAAAACUGUUUUAGAUCCGCUGUUCACAAAAUAUUCCCCUCCAGCGGACAAGAGCGAGUUCACACGUUAAACCCUAUACACCAUUGGCACAGAUUCACUUUGUGUCCAGACGAAACGCUCCGAAGUAGCUAGAAGAGUCCUCGCCGUACACCAUUGUGGGAGAUGAGACGGACACGAAGACCU